GGUUCUGGUCCAAACUCCAGCUGGACGUUUACAUCCAGACAUCAGCCCAGAGGGGAGUCGUGGCGUCACGUCGAAUCGGUGCCGGUUCCACUUCUGUCACCAAGAAACGCUUUCAUUUGGCCUCUAAAGCCUCCAGAUCUGGAAGACUUCACUAAACAUAUGGAGAACUUCUACGUGGAUCACUGCUUCCACGCCUUCGGCUGCAUGUCUGAACUCCUGGGAGAGAAUUUUGACUUCAAUGGAAACAGCAAGUCGG